GGCAACAGCCAUAUCACCCUGCAGCCCAAGACCAGUUUCUCACUGAAGCUAAGCAGGGCUGAGCCUGGUCAGUACCUGGAUGGGAGACCACAUGGGAAAACUAGAUUGCUGAAGUGG
ensembl:rRNA 5S_rRNA 5S ribosomal RNA